rnacentral:misc_RNA from 1 species
AGUAAAUCAUGAAGUGAUUCGUUCAGUGCCUCUAGCUCACCAGUGUUUUUACCAGCUUUGUUGUCAGUUUCAUCAAUAUCCAUAAUACCCAAAUCAUCAUAGUUUGCAUCAUCCUCAUCAUGAGCACUUUUAUUGCCAUUAGCAAGACCUCCUGGUGGAACGAGUGCAGGAACUUCAAAGCACAUAAAGUGAGCAAAGAAAGAACUCUCAUCCACAAGUAGAGGGAUAAAUAUUGUCAGCAUUUUCGCAUAUGCAUCCGAAACUGUUGAAGUGUCUGCACUAUUCAUAUUUUGAUUCGAACCAACUGAACCUUCAAGCCAUACAGUUGGAUUUCUUGACGCCUUUGUACUGGCACGAAGCUCAUUUGCGAACUCACGAGCCUCCCGGCGCAAAAGCAAAUUAAGGGAUGUACAAUAAGCUUUUCUUAAGGAGCCCAAGCAAUUCUUGUCAAGACUCUUCAGAUGUUGCAAAAGACGAGCAUAUGUCCUGCACUUGUAUCUCAGAUCAGCAUGGUCGGGCCUCUUCAAUUGCCCUCGCUGAGAAAAAUAACUCUUAUCACUUAUCAUAAAAUCCACCAAACUGGUAAAAUAGUUUCUCAAGAACUCAGAUGCUCUUCGAACAAACGUCGUUUUUAACUUGUCAAGCUCUGCUCGUUUCUCCUUUACAGCUCUCAUGUUUGCAUAGCCAGGAUCCAAAUUAGGAGCUUCAAGACCAAGUAAAGCAUUAGUUAACCACUCGCAUGCCUCAAUGUUUUGAAGCAUUCUUGCCUCAUCAAAUGAACCGCCAGUUAAAGAUGCUGCAUACUCAGAGGGUAUACGCAAUCUCUCAAGAAGCUUAUCAAGUUCCUCAAUCAAUGCUUUGUUGUUAACUGACUGCAUUUCCAGCUUGUUGUUGCGGCUCUCUAUCGAUUCAAUGUCUUCUCUCAUGUGUCUUAGCUUUAAGUUGAAGAUGCCCAACCAUUCAUCCAUAUCUUCAACACAGCUGGUGGCUGCUUCAAGCCCUUGCAAGACCUCAUCAAUUAAUGGCUCGUUCUCCAAAAUGGCAUGCACAUUUGCAGCUUCCAGAGCUUGAACCUCUCGCUUUAACCGCUCUGAGAAUGCCUCAGCUUCACCAAUUCCCAUUACAUAAGUGCCUAAAAGAGCCUCCAUGUCUUCUUCCUCCGCUUGAGACACAAGUUCCCUUUCAACAGUUACUUUCAUCUCACGUUCUUCCACAGCAGCACUGACAGGCCCAUCUUGGAGAUUAGUAUGUUGUUUGGUAAAUGUUGGAGUAUUUUCCUUUGCCCAAAGAGCCAUCUCCACCACAUCAAUGCCAACAACCUUGGGGAGACGACCAAGGAUAUCCUUACAGAUGUUUAGGAUGCAAAGCAAAAGGCGGUUCCUAUCGUCAACGUUACGCAUUGUCCACUGAGGUGGAGUAACACUUUGACUUCUGAGAUUAUCG